UAUUUAUUUUCAUAAACAUUUGUGAUGAUUUUUGAUGAAACCAAAAAUAAUUCACUGAGCCCCCUAAGUUC
rnacentral:tRNA from 1 species